AUGGGUUGUGUGCGGAGCUAAUCACAGACACUUUGGUGCACAGGGGCUAUGCUUCAAAGAGCUCUCUUAUUGGAGCCCCCUGAAUUCCUCGCACACUUCCUCCAACACCAGGGUUUGCAAAAGACAAGAGGUUAGCAAGAAGGAACCGAGUCGACUAUCCUCCGCAUGAAGAGACAACAACGUGUUUGGAAAAGUACACGGUCCCUGCCCCAGAGACCUGGGUACCCACAAUGAGAAAGAGCUCAAUUCACUAAAAUGCUAACACCUUGCACCAAGAGAUGAAAACAGUUACAAGGGUAACACGGACCUGCCCGAUUUACACCGGUUCAAAGUGCACCUCCAGGCCCUCACUCCUUUGAGUAAGUGGAAAUAAAAAUGUGUCCGUGUUUUAACAUUGAUAAAAUUGCCUUAUGCACGCUGACAUGACCCAAAAACCCAUUUCACCGCUUACAGAUGGGCAAAAUGAUUAAAAAAUCCAUUCCACCCCCAUGUUUUCCAGUUGUAUAUUGCCUUCCAAAGGGAGGAAAGCACAGAGGACUCUAGGAAGAGCAGUCUUAUCCGGCCUUUGCUUUUGUGCCAUGGAACAGCCAUGAAAAAGUUUUGCAUGCAGUAAAAUUCCGAGAGAGAUUUUUGCAUGAGCUUCCUGGUGUGUAUUUUUAAAGGGCUGCCGUCCAUCCCUCGCCUCUCUGCUUUGCCCCCCAAAGCAGCUGAGCAUAAACAAUCACAGAGAGGGCUUUCACACGGCAGCAGAGAUGAAAAGGCAAACAUUUCUCCCAGGAAAAAUGCAGUGAGCCAGCAUUUCCCUGCGUUUCCUAUCCUGUCAGGGAAGAACUUUUUGUUCAACUGAGGAGCCUAUUCUGACCCAGGAGAGAGGUCCCAGGGUGGUGUUGGUGACAUCACAGCCGGUAAUAUGCAAAUGAGUGGCUGUCAGCUAUUUCAUGAUGACAACUGGGGGGGGGGCAUUAAGUCUGGGUAGAGAAGAGACACAACAUACUUUAGAAAUUACAGUCCGAACAUCAUAAGGCAAACAUGAAGGUGAAUUCUCGCUGCGUUUUCUUCCCCCUCCAUUCUCCCCUCAUUUCAGUUUACUGCCGCUGACUGACAUGUAAGUGCAGAAGCCAGCUCUCAGCAAACACAUCUGAUUCACAGCAGUAUUGCUACGGUAAACAUUUAUAGGGUUUGAGAAAAACAUCUUUAUUUAAUGUCUUGUGUGGAUAUUCGUCCUCUUGCUAUUAAACUGGCGGUGUUAAAUAGCUUAGAAAGAGAGUUUCCUGAAAUAACAAAAUGACCUUAAUUGGGGAGGAAGGGAAACUCAAAUUAGAAAUGUAAUUCCCAUUUUUAUUUGUCAAAAAUCUCUCUUGAAACACACUAAGGUUAAUUCUAAAACGCGUCCUCCUGUUGUAAAAAAACUGGAGGGCAAUAAAACAAUUGUACCCUUAAAAAGUGAAGUUGAUUGAUCCGAUUGUCCAGAGGGGUCUCGCUAUUCUGCAGAUCAGGCCUUUUAAAAGAAUAAUAUGCAAACUAUGAAACAGCACAAGAGAUCUGCUUUACAUUUUUCUUUUGUUUAUUGUUCAAACUUGUUAAGCUGCUUUGUUUUUUGUUGAAAGAAUUCUGCCUGUCUCUGAUAAGAGAAUCUAUUUUAACAAAUGGACUUUUAGAAUGAAAAAAAAAAAGUUCUAUACCACAUGUUAAAAAAUAGGAUUUCUGAAAUAGCUAAUCUGCAUCUGAAAUCGAUAAGAUUUUUUUCCCCAAUAGUGCUCACGUUCAUCCCAAAUAUUGAUGCAGAUCUCAAUCUCUCUUCCAACUUAGUCUCCGCUGCCUAUUUAGUCCAGUCAUAUCAGUAACACUGUGAAAUGUUUUUAAGUGUUGCGGACGGUCAGAAGGAAAAACAAAUCUUCUGGCUUCCCCUAUUAUUUCUGACAAAGGCUUUAUAAAUAAGACAUACACUUACCUUUCAGCUCACCCAAAUAUGAGUGUUCUCCAGAAGCUUGCAAGCCAAAAUUCCCAGAGAAAGAUAGUAAAUACAGAAAGGGUUUAACAGGGAGAUGUUCUUCAAUUUUUUUUAGAGGUCCCUCCCCCCCCCUUUUUUGAACACACAAUUGGAAUUCCAUUUAAAAAAUCAUUGCACUUUAAAAUAAAAGGCCCCUCCCAAAUGUACCACUAUCCAGCAUGACAAUGCUAUCCAUCGGAAUUGUUUAACAGAACAAAGGCUGUGAACAGAGGCAGUUUCAGUAAAGCAUUUAGGAGAAAACCCGACCUUAGGGCUUGAACUGAAUUAAGAAUUAGGCACUGUAUAUUUUAGAAGGAAAACUACAGCAAAAAUGUGUCCCCCUAGUUUGACUCUAGUAGGGCUGAUCACUUCGUUUACAUGCAAGCGGGGAGGAAGACCCUCAUAUUAAAUUCUCAAUGUAGGCUUUAAAAGGAUUCUGCUCUGAAACUCAGUUCUCAGUUUAGUCUUUGAAGUAGUAGCAAAACUUGCAUCUUAUUCCAAACUCUCAUCACUUUAUGCUCCCUGACAAUUCGUUUGCUGUCUUGGGGGUGGGAGGGAGGACUGCGAUUAAAAGUGUAGAUGCUAAACAUUUCACUACAAAGCGGAGGGAAACCCCUGGGGAUUUUUUAAAGCACAUCUCGCCACAUAUAUUACAAACUGCAGCUAUACAUGUAUGGUUGUCCAAUUUGCAAACUCUGUCGGAGGACAGGGACAAGUCUUUGUGAAAAUGUCAAUCUGGGCAGUGAGAAACGAUAGAUAGAAAUAAAUAUCUCCCAAUCUAAAGUUCCUAAGCAAGGCAUAGAAACACGCAGCGAAAUUGACAGAGACGUGCAUUCGGAAAUCGUACGUGCACGGUUCGAUUAUAAAUCUGAAUGAUAGCAUUUUAGACAAAGUGCGUUAUGGUGUGGCCGAAAUGCUGUAUCCUUGGGUACAUAUAGUGUUUAAAAAUUAUUUAGUUCUUUCUCGUUUUGCUCCUUAAUUUUCCCAAAUGAACCUUAGAAAAAGAAUAGUAGGCGCUCUUUUAGAGCAACAUCAGCAGUAAAUUAGGGGUUAAGAGCUAUUUAAACAAAAAUGUACCGUCAGAAAGGAGGGGGGAGGAAUGCACCAAAAUAACCUUCAUUGGAAUAUGUAGAUUUUUACCCAAAAGUUUAAAAAAAGCCUUCCCCUCUGUAUAUACAGUAUUACUAUUUUGGUAUCUUGUCAAUUUCAUUGAUCACUGGCUGAAACACGUCGGUCGGUUUCUCCUCCCGGUUUGCUAAGUAACGUUUGCUAUUCAAUCUUGUAAAGAGAAAAAUUAUUCGAGCUGAUAAAAUCUGAUUGUCAAAGAGGAGUCCAGAUUCAGCAAGAAGCCUGUUCUUAAAAAAAAAAAAAUUGUCCCGAGGAAAAAAAAGUUAGCUAGUUUCUGGGCUUUUGGCGCUCCCUAUGGACGAAGAAAAGGAUUUCAUUUUUAGCUCCAGAAAGGUGAUUGUUGACAACUGUAGAAAUCCACCCCCCCACCCUACCCCCCCCCCCCAAAAAAAAGAGAAAGAAACGGGGGUACGAAAUGUGAGUGUAAAAAGGCACAGAAAACAAAGCAACCCCAUUUAAUGGUGCCUGACAGCUGUGGAUUUAAAUCGCUUAAAAUAGAAGCACCCACAUUGUUAAGUUUCCUUUGCAAUAGCUCUGGUAAAUAUGUGAUGAUCUGGGAUUGAAAGUGUGCGUCUGAUAUGGUUGUGCAUCUACAGAGGUGGAGGUAUUAACGUGUGUUAUGAAAAGAAAGAAUCACACAGGUGUGUUUAAAACCAUUUUCGCUAUUUUUAUCACUCGGUAAACGUGUGUAAAGAUCGCCGCUUUCUGAGCUCUAUCAUAAAAUAGGGGGUGGGGGAGAGAUCUCAAAAGUUUUCCCUUCCUGUUUCUUUCCGUAGCCCCAGCUUUUGCAAACUGUACCUACCGCUCUUUAGAGGCCGGGCAACUGGUGCAGAGCAUCCGAGAUAAAGAGCAAACUGAACUGGAGUUAAUUUUUUACUAGCGAGCAUCAAAAAGUUAUUCAAAGCAUUUAAUGAAAACAUAAACAUUUGCAGCCAGGAAAAUAGUCUUUCUGCAAAUCUAGAGGCGACGAUUUGCAUUCUGUGUCAGCAAGAAAAUCAACAGGAGGGGAGAUUCUCGGUUUAAAUAGUGGGGAAAGAGCGGUGCAUGAGCGGUGCAUUUUUACUGCCAUGUUUUGCAUCUAUUUUAGAUACAGUCUUUGCAUAUUUUGAAACGGUGUUCUAGCUUAGCAGUUAACUUGAGCAGGUCUGUCCGAAAUGGCCUCGUUAUUUCAUUCUGAAAGCAAAGGGUGGUCCCUUUCCGGGAUAGCUUAACUUUAUGAAGAUCUGGUAUGCAAUUAGCGCUAUACAUGCAAGUUACAGCGAGGGAAGAGGACUGUACAUAGUGGGAGUGUAUUAAAAAAAGGCGACCAACUUGUAGCUGGUAUGUUUCGUACCACUGGAUAGUUAAAGUUUAAUUUGAAGACUACAGUACUAGCCCAAUUACAGCACACUGACCCAGGGUAAAUUACCGCAGUCUUCAAAACUACCGGAAGACCAGCCUCUGUACAAGGUCUCUCAGCCAUAAGUUGACACAUAACUUUGCAGAACUCAGCUAUUACUGCAUGUGUGUGUCGAGAAUUGAAAGCCCUUAAGUAGCCACUAAGCCUUCGCGUGCAUUUAAACCAUGCUGGUUUUAAUUAAAGAACAGCAGCAAAGCGGUGAGCAUAACACCAUCCCCUGGGUGACAACUUUAUUUAAAGAAAAAAAAAACAUCCCUCGGUUUUAUAAGGCAAACCAAACAGGGGUGAAUCACAAAAGCUUUCCCUUCACCGAAAAAGCUCGACCUUCUUUUCCACGCCAAAAUCUGAGCAGCUCGGCAGCCCACAACCUGUCUGAUGCAAUGUUAGUUACCCCGGGUGUAUCUUUGUCUAGAACAGGAGACUUCAUGUCCAUAGCCCCCCUGAAAACAAUCAACAUUUGCCUAGGCAAACACAACACGAAGAAGAGUUUACUUUUCAGGCAUCACAAAAGUUCUGAAGUACAAAGAGUCACUCGGACACUUCUACUUGUCUGUACUUUUUUUUUUUUCUUCCCCUUCUCGGAGAGCUGCGCGCAUUUCUCCCCACCCUCAAAAAACUUGCAGCCAAUCAUCCGCGUGCCAGCCCCCCAGGGGCAGGGCUGUCAUUGGCUGAAAGUUUCUAAGGUGAAAUAGUAGAGGAGAGUAUUUAUUACAGAGACUCGGAGACAGAGUUGGAGAGCCGAGCUUGAAACUGACUAGGUGAAAUUGAUUGGGAGCCUUCAAACUUUCCAAACGCCAGGAACUUUUUUUCUUCUUCUUCUGGGAGGCAGAGAGAAAGAAGGGACAUCCGGGGGGGGGAAUCAGACUAACUCCCCACUUUGUUCCCCCACCCCCUUUUUGACUCUCCUCGGCAGGAAAACGCCCUGGGUCUUUCCACGUUACUGCUGCAGCAACUUUGCAGUGGGCUGGGAACAAACUUUUCCUCCCCCCCCCUCUCUCUCCUGCAAGCUGCAAGCGACCAGGCAAAACUUUCUUGUUUCUUUUGCAAACUUUUUUUUGCUGCUUGAUUUCUCCCCUUCCCCUUCCCCCGCCUCCAUCCCUCCCUUGCUUCAGGCUGCUUUGCAAGAGGUUGUGCCGCUGUAUUAUUUUUUUUCAUCCCUCCCUCCCACGCCUUCCUUCCCCCCC